AUUUUACCCAAAAAAAAAAAGGGAAAUCAAAAUCCCGCUCACUCUCAAAAAAUAACUUUUGGUUACCAUCUCAUUACUCCCUCUUCUUCUCAUCUAUGUCGCUCGCCCUAAAUCCCCCAAAUAAAAUUUAGCUACUCUUCUUCCCUAGAUCUGAAAUAAAAGAAAAAAAGAAACUGAAAAAAGCACAAAGGGUUUUUUGGAAGCAAAGCAGAGCGAAGAACUGUGUGAGCGAAUUGGCAGGAAAAAGCUUACAAAAAGGUAUGAAAUGGCAGAAUAUGCUUUCUGCUUUGGGUUUUCUUUUUUGGUUUAGGUAAUGGUGCUAAGGCUCGAUGGCAUAGAUGUUUCGGGGUUUAAAUUCCUCUUCUCAUUGCCGGUCAUGUAUGGUCUCAUGUCCAUCCUUGUUCACUCCGUAAUGUACACCAAGUUCAUCAUGCCUUUGGGGAUCGAAGCGCCUCUCGAUCGUUUCUCUGAAGCUAGAGCUAUCGAGCAUGUUUGAGUCUUAGCACAUGAAAUGGAUGGUCGUUAAGUGCGUCAGCUUAUCUUUUUUAACUUUAUUUCCAUCAUGUCAUGUACUUUUUUCUUUUUUUUUUCCUUUCAAUUUUACUGGAUAGCUUUAAAUCAUUACUAUUCUUAUUAGUUUAUUCUCACUGCUUAGAUUGAAGGUAACCUCUGGGGUAGCUGAAAUGGAAAAAAAAAUUCAAAUUUAUUGUUAUAGUAGAGUAGGACUUUAUGUUAGUGAUUAUGGGUUUUCGUUGUUCAAUAAGAAGGGCGUCAGGGUUUGAGAGAAACAGCAGAGUAUAUUAAGGCACAGUUGGAAAGGUUGAAGGAGAGAGCUGGGUCAAAUUUCAGGAUUGAGAUUGAAGAGAAUGUUGUUGGUGGGUCAUUCAAUAUGAUGUUCUUAGGCCAUGGAUUGUCAACUUCUACUUUUGAUGUGCCAAUGUCACCAAAGAAGGCUCUCCAUGCUGCAAUGUUGAAACGUCGUUUUGCUGACAAUAUUCUGAAAGCUCAGAAGAAGGCACUACUGGAUCAUGUAAAGUUUUAUUUUGGCUGCUAACAAUGAAAAGAAAAGGCAAAGAUUGAAGCUCAAAUCUUAGCUGCUGAAGCAGCAGCAAAAAUGAAGGCAGAGGUUGAGCUGAAAAAGCAACGGGAAAGAGAAAGAGAAGCUGCUCGAAUUGCAUUACAAAAGGCAUUAGUGAUAAUAAGAUAUAUCAUUAUCACUUAAAUCUUGGAGGAAGUGUUUCUACCAGAAGGCUGACUAGGCUACCUUCAAUUCCUAAGAAUGAUGCAAAGUUCAGGAUUCACAUUCAAGGAGCAAGAGACAUCGUAGCAACUCAUUGGGAUCGACCAGUCAGAAUUCAGAAUCAAGCGACACACAAGAGCUAUAUUUGGAGCUUAGACUGUCACUGUAAUCAGUAAAUUUUUUCUGCCACUUUAAAUGCAUGCUCAUGGAAUUGCAUUUUAUGCUUUCGUAGAAUUGUAAGUUCAAAUAAGAUGUUGAUGUUGCAAUUCAUACAUACAACUUGAGCAAGUUGAUAUGAACUAGUUUGAAUUUUUUUAAAAAAAAAUUUCAAAGGAAUCUUAUGUAAUCAAAGGCAAUUUGACUUGCUGUAUGAGAUAUAGUAAAAAAAUUGAUCUUCUUGUUUAUGAAUUUCCAAAUAA